GAUGAACGCUGGCGGCGUGCCUAAUACAUGCAAGUCGAGCGAACAGAUGAGGAGCUUGCUCCUCUGACGUUAGCGGCGGACGGGUGAGUAACACGUGGAUAACCUACCUAUAAGACUGGGAUAACUUCGGGAAACCGGAGCUAAUACCGGAUAAUAUAUUGAACCGCAUGGUUCAAUAGUGAAAGACGGUUUUGCUGUCACUUAUAGAUGGAUCCGCGCCGCAUUAGCUAGUUGGUAAGGUAACGGCUUACCAAGGCGACGAUGCGUAGCCGACCUGAGAGGGUGGUCGCCCACACUGGAACGGAGACACGGUCCAGACUCCUACGGGAGGCAGCAGUAGGGAACCUUCCGCAAUGGGCGAAAGCCUGGCGGAGCAGCGCCGCGUGAGUGAUGAAGGUCUUCGGAUCGUAAAGCUCUGUUAUUAGUGAAGAACAAAUGUGUAAGUAACUAUGCACGUCUUGACGGUACCGAAUCAGAAAGCCACGGCUAACUACGUG
rnacentral:rRNA from 1 species